AGGACUUUGCUGAUGCUUCGAACGUCCUGCUCUAUAUUUGGGUACCAUUGGGGAUUGCCCUCCUACUAUUUGUUGUUCUUCUAAUUUUAUUCGUCACCCCCCCAAAACGGCCGAGGAAGCUUAGACGGGGGGGAACAAUCAGAAAACAGAAACGUCCAAAAAAUACGACACCAUUAAAAAGCGUGAAGAUUAAAUUUUUACAAAGAAGAGAUAAUUUAAGGAAUGCAGUGGAUGAAGACGUGGAUGAUGGUUUUACAGUCGAAAAUACCAUUGGACUUCAAAAAGAAAAAAGAAGAGAAAACAAUUGAAAAUCAGAAAAGGAGAAUGACUUCCACACUAGUGGGAGUUAAGCUUUAAUGGUCAUUUAUGAGUGAAAUGAUAUCAUUAUAUUCCAAAACUUUCAGUUCCUUAAAUUUCUCAGUAAUUCUACGAGUUUGUUUACACAAAUUUUUGCAAUUAUAAUGAAAAAAUUUAAUUAUUCUGUUAUAUGGGUGAUUCUCACGAAACAUGACAA